rnacentral:rRNA from 1 species
GACGAACGCUGGCGGCGUGGAUUAGGCAUGCAAGUCGAACGGUAGGAUACCUUCGGGUAUCUGAGAGUGGCGAACGGGUGAGUAACACGUAGGUGAUCUACCCUCAAGAUUGGGACAACCCAGGGAAACUUGGGCUAAUACCGGAUGAAAGCAGCAGUGAUGUUGUUUGAAAGGUGGCGUAAGCUGCCGUUUGGGGAUGAGCCUGCGCUCUAUUAGUUAGUUGGCGGGGUAAAGGCCCACCAAGGCGAUGAUAGAUAGGCGGCCUUAACGGGUGGUCGCCCACACUGGGAUUGAGAUACGGCCCAGACUCCUACGGGAGGCAGCAGUCGAGAAUAGUCUACAAUGGCCGAAAGGCUGAUAGUGCGACGCCGCGUGAACGAAGAAGCCCUUCGGGGUGUAAAGUUCUUUUAUAUGUGAGCAGUGCUUUUCAUGUGAACAGCAUGGGGAGAGAGAUAUUAGCAUAUGAAUAAGCAACGGCUAACUCCGUGCCAGC